GAUGAACGCUGACAGAAUGCUUAACACAUGCAAGUCUUUGGCGAAGUUGUGCUUGCACAGCCUAGCCAAGGCGGACGGGUGAGUAACGCGUAAGGAACUUGCCCUGCAGUCAGGGAUAACAGACGGAAACGACUGAUAAGACCUGGUAAAGUCAGGCGGACUCAUGUCCAGCCUGAUGAAAAGAGAUGCUGCAGGAGAGCCUUGCGUCCUAUUAGCUUGUUGGUGGGGUAACGGCCCACCAAGGCGAUGAUAGGUAGCCGGCCUGAGAGGGUGGACGGCCACAAGGGGACUGAGAUACGGCCCUUACUCCUACGGGAGGCAGCAGUGGGGAAUAUUGGACAAUGGGGGCAACCCUGAUCCAGCAAUUCUGUGUGCACGAUGAAGGUUUUCGGAUUGUAAAGUGCUUUCAGCAGGGAAGAAAAAAAUGACGGUACCUGCAGAAGAAGCGACGGCUAAAUACGUGCCAGCAGCCGCGGUAAUACGUAUGUCGCAAGCGUUAUCCGGAAUUAUUGGGCAUAAAGGGCAUCUAGGCGGCCAGAUAAGUCUGGGGUGAAAACUUGCGGCUCAACCGCAAGCCUGCCCUGGAAACUAUGUGGCUAGAGUACUGGAGAGGUGGACGGAACUGCACGAGUAGAGGUGAAAUUCGUAGAUAUGUGCAGGAAUGCCGAUGAUGAAGAUAGUUCACUGGACGGUAACUGACGCUGAAGUGCGAAAGCUAGGGGAGCAAACAGG
rnacentral:rRNA from 1 species